UCGACUGAGAGGUCUCUUUACUACUCCCCUA
rnacentral:piRNA from 1 species